UACGUAGGGGGGCUAGCGUUGUCCGGAAUCAUUGGGCGUAAAGAGCGUGUAGGCGGCCCGGUAAGUCCGCUGUGAAAGUCGGGGGGCUCAACCCUCGGAUGCCGGUGGAUACUGUCGGGCUCGAGUACGGAGGAGGCGAGUGGAAUUCCUGGUGUAGCGGUGAAAUGCGCAGAUAUCAGGAGGAACACCGGUGGCGAAGG
rnacentral:rRNA from 1 species